rnacentral:rRNA from 1 species
CCUACGGGAGGCUGCAGUAGGGAAUAUUGCUCAAUGGGGGAGAGGCUGAAGCAGCAAAGCCGCGUGGGGGAUGACGGUUUUAGGGUUGUAAACUCCUUUUGUUAGGGAAGAUUAUGACGCUAUCUGACGAAUAAGCACCGGCUAACUCCGUGCCAACAGCCGCGGUAAUGCGGAGGGUGCAAGCGUUAUUCGGAAUCACUGGGCGUAAAGAGUGCGUAGGCGGGGUAAUAAGUCAGAUGUGAAAUCCUGUAGCUUAACUACAGAACUGCAUUUGAAACUGUUACUCUGGAGUGUGGGAGAGGUAGGUGGAAUUCUUGGUGUAGGGGUAAAAUCCGUAGAGAUCAAGCGGAAUACUCAUUGCGAAGGCGACCUGCUGGAACAUUACUGACGCUGAUGCACGAAAGCGUGGGGAGCAAACAGGAUUAGAUACCCGGGUAGUC